GUGCUGGCUUCUGCAGCACAUAUACUAAAAUUAGAACGAAACAGAGAAGAUUAGCAUGGCCCCUGCACAAGGAUGACACGCAAAUUCAUGAAGCAUUCCAUGUUUUA
ensembl:snRNA U6 U6 spliceosomal RNA